UACAGAGGGUGCUAGCGUUGUUCGGAAUCAUUGGGCGUAAAGCGCUCGCAGGCGGCUUGCUACGUCGUGCGUGAAACACCCCGGCUCAACUGGCGAGGGUCGUGCGAUACGGGCAGGCUGGAGGCCAGUAGGGGGAUGCGGAAUUCCGGGUGUAGUGGUGGAAUGCGUAGAGAUCCGGAGGAACACCAGCGGCGAAGGCGGCAUCCUGGACUGGUAUUGACGCUCAGGAGCGAAAGCGUGGGGAGCGAUCCGG
rnacentral:rRNA from 1 species